rnacentral:rRNA from 1 species
ACGGAAGGCAGCAGUGGGGAAUAUUGGGCAAUGGGGGAAACCCUGACCCAGCAACGCCGCGUGAAGGAAGAAGGCCCUCGGGUUGUAAACUUCUUUUACCAGGGACGAACAAAUGACGGUACCUGGAGAAAAAGCAACGGCUAACUACGUGCCAGCAGCCGCGGUAAUACGUAGGUUGCAAGCGUUGUCCGGAUUUACUGGGUGUAAAGGGCGUGUAGGCGGAGCUGCAAGUCAGAUGUGAAAUCCCGGGGCCCAACCCCGGAACUGCAUUUGAAACUGUAGCCCUUGAGUAUCGGAGAGGCAAGCGGAAUUCCUAGUGUAGCGGUGAAAUGCGUAGAUAUUAGGAGGAACACCAGUGGCGAAGGCGGCUUGCUGGACGACAACUGACGCUGAGGCGCGAAAGCGUGGGGAGCAAACAGGAUUAGAUACCCUGGUA